UAAAACUUGGAGAGAGAGUCCUAAAGGGCCUGAACUCUCUAGGUCAUGGUUCAUCUAGUUUAGAUUAGGUCUCAAUUGGAUACAAAUAGAGUUUGAAAUGAGCCAAAUUCGAAAAGGCUAUUAAGUUUGAUCAAAUCAAGUUUAAAAUCUAAAUCUGAUUUGGAUAAUUGAAUCCAAUUAGCAUUAAAUUAAAUUAAAUAUAAUUAAAU
rnacentral:lncRNA from 1 species